GUGCUCGCUACGGCAACACAUACACUAAAAUUGGAAUGAUACAGAGAAAAUUAACAUGGCCCCUGCAUCAGGAUGACUUGUAAAUUCGUGAAGCGUUCCAUGUUUUU